GACGAACGCUGGCGGCGUGCUUAACACAUGCAAGUCGAACGGAAAGGCCCUGCUUUUGUGGGGUUCUCGAGUGGCGAACGGGUGAGUAACACGUGAGUAACCUGCCCUUGACUUUGGGAUAACUUCAGGAAACUGGGGCUAAUACCGGAUAGGAGCUCCUGCUCCAUGGUGGGCGUUGGAAAGUUUCGGCGGUUGGGGAUGGACUCGCGGCUUAUCAGCUUGUUGGUGGGGUAGUGGCUUACCAAGUGUUUGACGGGUAGCCGGCCUGAGAGGGUGACCGGCCACAUUGGGACUGAGAGACGGAGCAGAGUGCUAUGGGAGGCAGAAGUGGGGAAUAUUGCACAGUGAGCGGGAGCCUGAUGCAGCAACGCCGGGUGCGGGAUGACGGCCUUCGGGUUGUGAACCGCUUUCGCCUGUGACGAAGCGGGAGUGACGGUAAUGAGUAAAGAAGCACCGGCUAACUACGUG
rnacentral:rRNA from 1 species